rnacentral:rRNA from 1 species
AACGCGAAGAACCUUACCUGCCCUUGACAUGUCAGGAAGCUCACAGAGAUGUGGGUGUGCCUUCGGGAACCUGAACACAGGUGCUGCAUGGCUGUCGUCAGCUCGUGUCGUGAGAUGUUGGGUUAAGUCCCGUAACGAGCGCAACCCUUGUCCUUAGUUACCAGCACGUUAUGGUGGGAACUCUAAGGAGACUGCCGGUGACAAACCGGAGGAAGGUGGGGAUGACGUCAAGUCCUCAUGGCCCUUAUGGGCAGGGCUACACACGUGCUACAAUGGUCGGUACAGAGAGUUGCCAACCCGCGAGGGGGAGCUAAUCUCACAAAACCGAUCUCAGUCCGGAUUGAGGUCUGCAACUCGACCCCAUGAAGCUGGAAUCGCUAGUAAUCGUGGAUCAGAACGCCACGGUGAAUACGUUCCCGGGCCUUGUA